CGACCGGCGCACGGGUGAGUAACGCGUAUGCAACCUGCCCGUUUCAGCGGGAUAACCCGGAGAAAUCCGGCCUAAUACCGCAUGUGGCCGAGGGGAGGCAUCUUCUUUCGGCCAAAGGAGGCGACUCCGGAGACGGAUGGGCAUGCGUGACAUUAGCUAGUUGGCGGGGUAACGGCCCACCAAGGCGACGAUGUCUAGGGGUUCUGAGAGGAAGGUCCCCACAUUGGAACUGAGACACGGUCCAAACUCCUACGGGAGGCAGCAG
rnacentral:rRNA from 1 species